rnacentral:sRNA from 1 species
AAAUAGAUUAAGAGAAAUCCGGAUUACAAAAACGUCUAGAACACAAUGUUUGCGGAAUAAAAC